GACGAACGCUUGCGACGUGCCUAAGAAAUGCAAGUCGAACGGGGGAGCAAUCCCUAGUGGCGAACGGUCGCGUAACACGUGGGCAACCUGCCCUGAAGCGGGGGACAACAAGUCGAAAGAUUUGCUAAUACCGCAUGUGUCUCGCUGUGGCAUCACAGAGGAGACAAAGCCGCAAGGCACUUCAGGAUGGGCCCGCGGCCUAUCAGCUUGUUGGUGAGGAACGGCCCACCAAGGCUUCGACGGGUAGCUGGUCUGAGAGGACGAUCAGCCGGAUUGGGACUGAGAUACGGCCCAGACUCCUACGGGGGCAGCAAUUAGGAAUCUUGCACAAUGGGACGAAAGCCUGAUGCAGCGACGUCGCGUGAAGGAUGAAA
rnacentral:rRNA from 1 species